rnacentral:rRNA from 1 species
UACGAAGGGGGCUAGCGUUGUUCGGAAUUACUGGGCGUAAAGCGUAUGCAGGCGGACUUUUAAGUCGGGGGUGAAAUCCCGAGGCUCAACCUCGGAACUGCCUUCGAUACUGGAAGUCUUGAGUCCGGGAGAGGUGAGUGGAAUUCCGAGUGUAGAGGUGAAAUUCGUAGAUAUUCGGAGGAACACCAGAGGCGAAGGCGGCUCACUGGCACGAUACUGACGCUGAGGUGCGAAAGCGUGGGGAGCAAACAGG